CAUUGGCUUGUCUGCUUUGCUUCUUCAUUUCCCAGAGUUUGGAGAUCUGAUCCAUCAUACACCAUGAGGGCUCUCUACCUUGCCGUGGUUAUCAUGAUGUUGCUUGCCACUGCUAUGAAUGUUGAAGGAUUUAAAUAUAAGCCAAGCUGUUCUGUAGAUGGAGGCCGAUGUGCCAAAUAUUGUGAGAAGACUGAAUAUGCCUCCUAUGUCCAUAAUUGCCCUCUCUGCUGUUUUAAGUACAAGAAGGAUGACUAAAAAGGGAGGAUGCCGCUGAGAUGGGCCAAGAGGAUGUGACCCAUUGCUUAGCUACCAAGAAGGCAUCAUGUUUGAUCUCCUUCAAUAAAUGCAAGAAGAAAAAUGCUCAG
rnacentral:lncRNA from 11 species